AGUGAACGCUGGCGGCAGGCCUAAUACAUGCAAGUCGAACGGCAGCACGGCAGAGCUUGCUCUGUGGGUGGCGAGUGGCGGACGGGUGAGGAAUACAUGGGAAUCUGCCCAGUCGUGGGGGAUAACGUAGGGAAACUUACGCUAAUACCGCAUGCGCCCUUCGGGGGAAAGCCGGGGACCUUCGGGCCUGGCGCGAUUGGAUGAGCCCAUGUCGGAUUAGCUAGUUGGCGGGGUAAUGGCCCACCAAGGCGACGAUCCGUAGCUGGUCUGAGAGGAUGAUCAGCCACACUGGAACUGAGACACGGUCCAGACUCCUACGGGAGGCAGCAGUAGGGAAUAUUGGACAAUGGGCGAAAGCCUGAUCCAGCCAUGCCGCGUGAGUGAAGAAGGCUUUCGGGUUGUAAAGGCUCUUUCGGUGGGGAAGAAAUUGCAUGGGCUAAUACCCUGUGUAGAUGACGGUACCUGGAGAAGAAGCACCGGCUAACUACGUGCCAGCAGCC
rnacentral:rRNA from 1 species